rnacentral:rRNA from 1 species
GUGGGGAAUAUUCCGCAAUGGACGAAAGUCUGACGGAGCAACGCCGCGUGAGUGAUGAAGGUUUUCGGACUGUAAAGCUCUGUUGUUUAGGACGAAAGUGCCUGUUGCAAAUAGUUACAGGUAUUGACGGUACUGAACGAGGAAGCCACGGCUAACUACGUGCCAGCAGCCGCGGUAAUACGUAGGUGGCAAGCGUUGUCCGGAAUUAUUGGGCGUAAAGAGCAUGUAGGCGGGAAUCUAAGUCUGUUGUGAAAAUGCGGGGCACAACCCCGUAUGGCGAUGGAAACUGGGUUUCUUGAGUGCAGGAGAGGAAAGGGGAAUUCCCAGUGUAGCGGUGAAAUGCGUAGAUAUUGGGAGGAACACCAGUGGCGAAGGCGCCUUUCUGGACUGUGUCUGACGCUGAGAUGCGAAAGCCAGGGUAGCGAACGGGAUUAGAUACCCGUGUAGUCC